rnacentral:lncRNA from 1 species
AAAAACUGACUCCCGGGCAUAUUUUUUUUCGGCCUUUAUGGGCAGAGAACUUUAAUGCCGCUCGGAAUGAGGCCACCCAGUAGUUAGGUGUGAAUUUUCGAGACCUUUGGCACCGUUCUAAGAUGGGUCCUCUCUUCGUAGGCUAAUGCAUUGGCCCUUUUUGACCCGUUUUGGGGCGAAAACAAAAACUGACUCCCGGGCAUAUUUUUUUCGGCCUUUAUGGGCAGAGAACUUUAAUGCCGCUCAGAAUGAGGCCACCCAGUAGUUAGGUGUGAAUUUUCGAGACCUUUGGCACCGUUCUAAGAUGGGUCCUCUCUUCGUAGGCUAAUGCAUUGGCCCUUUUUGACCCGUUUUGGGGCGAAAACAAAAACUGACUCCCGGGCAUAUUUUUUUUCGGCCUUUAUGGGCAGAGAACUUUAAUGCCGCUCAGAAUGAGGCCACCCAGUAGUUAGGUGUGAAUUUUCGAGACCUUUGGCACCGUUCUAAGAUGGGUCCUCUCUUCGUAGGCUAAUGCAUUGGCCCUUUUUGACCCGUUUUGGGGCGAAAACAAAAACUGACUCCCGGGCAUAUUUUUUUCGGCCUUUAUGGGCAGAGAACUUUAAUGCCGCUCGGAAUGAGGCCACCCAGUAGUUAGGUGUGAAUUUUCGAGACCUUUGGCACCGUUCUAAGAUGGGUCCUCUCUUCGUAGGCUAAUGCAUUGGCCCUUUUUGACCCGUUUUGGGGCGAAAACAAAAACUGACUCCCGGGCAUAUUUUUUUCGGCCUUUAUGGGCAGAGAACUUUAAUGCCGCUCGGAAUGAGGCCACCCAGUAGUUAGGUGUGAAUUUUCGAGACCUUUGGCACCGUUCUAAGAUGGGUCCUCUCUUCGUAGGCUAAUGCAUUGGCCCUUUUUUGACCCGUUUUGGGGCGAAAACAAAAACUGACUCCCGGGCAUAUUUUUUUCGGCCUUUAUGGGCAGAGAACUUUAAUGCCGCUCAGAAUGAGGCCACCCAGUAGUUAGGUGUGAAUUUUCGAGACCUUUGGCACCGUUCUAAGAUGGGUCCUCUCUUCGUAGGCUAAUGCAUUGGCCCUUUUUGACCCGUUUUGGGGCGAAAACAAAAACUGACUCCCGGGCAUAUUUUUUUCGGCCUUUAUGGGCAGAGAACUUUAAUGCCGCUCAGAAUGAGGCCACCCAGUAGUUAGGUGUGAAUUUUCGAGACCUUUGGCACCGUUCUAAGAUGGGUCCUCUCUUCGUAGGCUAAUGCAUUGGCCCUUUUUGACCCGUUUUGGGGCGAAAACAAAAACUGACUCCCGGGCAUAUUUUUUUCGGCCUUUAUGGGCAGAGAACUUUAAUGCCGCUCAGAAUGAGGCCACCCAGUAGUUAGGUGUGAAUUUUCGAGACCUUUGGCACCGUUCUAAGAUGGGUCCUCUCUUCGUAGGCUAAUGCAUUGGCCCUUUUUGACCCGUUUUGGGGCGAAAACAAAAACUGACUCCCGGGCAUAUUUUUUUCGGCCUUUAUGGGCAGAGAACUUUAAUGCCGCUCAGAAUGAGGCCACCCAGUAGUUAGGUGUGAAUUUUCGAGACCUUUGGCACCGUUCUAAGAUGGGUCCUCUCUUCGUAGGCUAAUGCAUUGGCCCUUUUUGACCCGUUUUGGGGCGAAAACAAAAACUGACUCCCGGGCAUAUUUUUUUUCGGCCUUUAUGGGCAGAGAACUUUAAUGCCGCUCAGAAUGAGGCCACCCAGUAGUUAGGUGUGAAUUUUCGAGACCUUUGGCACCGUUCUAAGAUGGGUCCUCUCUUCGUAGGCUAAUGCAUUGGCCCUUUUUGACCCGUUUUGGGGCGAAAACAAAAACUGACUCCCGGGCAUAUUUUUUUCGGCCUUUAUGGGCAGAGAACUUUAAUGCCGCUCAGAAUGAGGCCACCCAGUAGUUAGGUGUGAAUUUUCGAGACCUCUGGCACCGUUCUAAGAUGGGUCCUCUCUUCGUAGGCUAAUGCAUUGGCCCUUUUUGACCCGUUUUGGGGCGAAAACAAAAACUGACUCCCGGGCAUAUUUUUUUCGGCCUUUAUGGGCAGAGAACUUUAAUGCCGCUCAGAAUGAGGCCACCCAGUAGUUAGGUGUGAAUUUUCGAGACCUCUGGCACCGUUCUAAGAUGGGUCCUCUCUUCGUAGGCUAAUGCAUUGGCCCUUUUUGACCCGUUUUGGGGCGAAAACAAAAACUGACUCCCGGGCAUAUUUUUUUCGGCCUUUAUGGGCAGAGAACUUUAAUGCCGCUCAGAAUGAGGCCACCCAGUAGUUAGGUGUGAAUUUUCGAGACCUCUGGCACCGUUCUAAGAUGGGUCCUCUCUUCGUAGGCUAAUGCAUUGGCCCUUUUUGACCCGUUUUGGGGCGAAAACAAAAACUGACUCCCGGGCAUAUUUUUUUCGGCCUUUAUGGGCAGAGAACUUUAAUGCCGCUCAGAAUGAGGCCACCCAGUAGUUAGGUGUGAAUUUUCGAGACCUCUGGCACCGUUCUAAGAUGGGUCCUCUCUUCGUAGGCUAAUGCAUUGGCCCUUUUUGACCCGUUUUGGGGCGAAAACAAAAACUGACUCCCGGGCAUAUUUUUUUCGGCCUUUAUGGGCAGAGAACUUUAAUGCCGCUCAGAAUGAGGCCACCCAGUAGUUAGGUGUGAAUUUUCGAGACCUCUGGCACCGUUCUAAGAUGGGUCCUCUCUUCGUAGGCUAAUGCAUUGGCCCUUUUUGACCCGUUUUGGGGCGAAAACAAAAACUGACUCCCGGGCAUAUUUUUUUCGGCCUUUAUGGGCAGAGAACUUUAAUGCCGCUCAGAAUGAGGCCACCCAGUAGUUAGGUGUGAAUUUUCGAGACCUCUGGCACCGUUCUAAGAUGGGUCCUCUCUUCGUAGGCUAAUGCAUUGGCCCUUUUUGACCCGUUUUGGGGCGAAAACAAAAACUGACUCCCGGGCAUAUUUUUUUCGGCCUUUAUGGGCAGAGAACUUUAAUGCCGCUCAGAAUGAGGCCACCCAGUAGUUAGGUGUGAAUUUUCGAGACCUCUGGCACCGUUCUAAGAUGGGUCCUCUCUUCGUAGGCUAAUGCAUUGGCCCUUUUUGACCCGUUUUGGGGCGAAAACAAAAACUGACUCCCGGGCAUAUUUUUUUCGGCCUUUAUGGGCAGAGAACUUUAAUGCCGCUCAGAAUGAGGCCACCCAGUAGUUAGGUGUGAAUUUUCGAGACCUCUGGCACCGUUCUAAGAUGGGUCCUCUCUUCGUAGGCUAAUGCAUUGGCCCUUUUUGACCCGUUUUGGGGCGAAAACAAAAACUGACUCCCGGGCAUAUUUUUUUCGGCCUUUAUGGGCAGAGAACUUUAAUGCCGCUCAGAAUGAGGCCACCCAGUAGUUAGGUGUGAAUUUUCGAGACCUCUGGCACCGUUCUAAGAUGGGUCCUCUCUUCGUAGGCUAAUGCAUUGGCCCUUUUUGACCCGUUUUGGGGCGAAAACAAAAACUGACUCCCGGGCAUAUUUUUUUCGGCCUUUUAUGGGCAGAGAACUUUAAUGCCGCUCAGAAUGAGGCCACCCAGUAGUUAGGUGUGAAUUUUCGAGACCUCUGGCACCGUUCUAAGAUGGGUCCUCUCUUCGUAGGCUAAUGCAUUGGCCCUUUUUGACCCGUUUUGGGGCGAAAACAAAAACUGACUCCCGGGCAUAUUUUUUUCGGCCUUUAUGGGCAGAGAACUUUAAUGCCGCUCAGAAUGAGGCCACCCAGUAGUUAGGUGUGAAUUUUCGAGACCUCUGGCACCGUUCUAAGAUGGGUCCUCUCUUCGUAGGCUAAUGCAUUGGCCCUUUUUGACCCGUUUUGGGGCGAAAACAAAAACUGACUCCCGGGCAUAUUUUUUUCGGCCUUUAUGGGCAGAGAACUUUAAUGCCGCUCAGAAUGAGGCCACCCAGUAGUUAGGUGUGAAUUUUCGAGACCUCUGGCACCGUUCUAAGAUGGGUCCUCUCUUCGUAGGCUAAUGCAUUGGCCCUUUUUGACCCGUUUUGGGGCGAAAACAAAAACUGACUCCCGGGCAUAUUUUUUUCGGCCUUUAUGGGCAGAGAACUUUAAUGCCGCUCAGAAUGAGGCCACCCAGUAGUUAGGUGUGAAUUUUCGAGACCUCUGGCACCGUUCUAAGAUGGGUCCUCUCUUCGUAGGCUAAUGCAUUGGCCCUUUUUGACCCGUUUUGGGGCGAAAACAAAAACUGACUCCCGGGCAUAUUUUUUUCGGCCUUUAUGGGCAGAGAACUUUAAUGCCGCUCAGAAUGAGGCCACCCAGUAGUUAGGUGUGAAUUUUCGAGACCUCUGGCACCGUUCUAAGAUGGGUCCUCUCUUCGUAGGCUAAUGCAUUGGCCCUUUUUGACCCGUUUUGGGGCGAAAAAAAAAAACUGACUCCCGGGCAUAUUUUUUUCGGCCUUUAUGGGCAGAGAACUUUAAUGCCGCUCAGAAUGAGGCCACCCAGUAGUUAGGUGUGAAUUUUCGAGACCUCUGGCACCGUUCUAAGAUGGGUCCUCUCUUCGUAGGCUAAUGCAUUGGCCCUUUUUGACCCGUUUUGGGGCGAAAACAAAAACUGACUCCCGGGCAUAUUUUUUUCGGCCUUUAUGGGCAGAGAACUUUAAUGCCGCUCAGAAUGAGGCCACCCAGUAGUUAGGUGUGAAUUUUCGAGACCUCUGGCACCGUUCUAAGAUGGGUCCUCUCUUCGUAGGCUAAUGCAUUGGCCCUUUUUGACCCGUUUUGGGGCGAAAACAAAAACUGACUCCCGGGCAUAUUUUUUUCGGCCUUUAUGGGCAGAGAACUUUAAUGCCGCUCAGAAUGAGGCCACCCAGUAGUUAGGUGUGAAUUUUCGAGACCUCUGGCACCGUUCUAAGAUGGGUCCUCUCUUCGUAGGCUAAUGCAUUGGCCCUUUUUGACCCGUUUUGGGGCGAAAACAAAAACUGACUCCCGGGCAUAUUUUUUUCGGCCUUUAUGGGCAGAGAACUUUAAUGCCGCUCAGAAUGAGGCCACCCAGUAGUUAGGUGUGAAUUUUCGAGACCUCUGGCACCGUUCUAAGAUGGGUCCUCUCUUCGUAGGCUAAUGCAUUGGCCCUUUUUGACCCGUUUUGGGGCGAAAACAAAAACUGACUCCCGGGCAUAUUUUUUUCGGCCUUUAUGGGCAGAGAACUUUAAUGCCGCUCAGAAUGAGGCCACCCAGUAGUUAGGUGUGAAUUUUCGAGACCUCUGGCACCGUUCUAAGAUGGGUCCUCUCUUCGUAGGCUAAUGCAUUGGCCCUUUUUGACCCGUUUUGGGGCGAAAACAAAAACUGACUCCCGGGCAUAUUUUUUUCGGCCUUUAUGGGCAGAGAACUUUAAUGCCGCUCAGAAUGAGGCCACCCAGUAGUUAGGUGUGAAUUUUCGAGACCUCUGGCACCGUUCUAAGAUGGGUCCUCUCUUCGUAGGCUAAUGCAUUGGCCCUUUUUGACCCGUUUUGGGGCGAAAACAAAAACUGACUCCCGGGCAUAUUUUUUUCGGCCUUUAUGGGCAGAGAACUUUAAUACCGCUCAGAAUGAGGCCACCCAGUAGUUAGGUGUGAAUUUUCGAGACCUCUGGCACCGUUCUAAGAUGGGUCCUCUCUUCGUAGGCUAAUGCAUUGGCCCUUUUUGACCCGUUUUGGGGCGAAAACAAAAACUGACUCCCGGGCAUAUUUUUUUCGGCCUUUAUGGGCAGAGAACUUUAAUGCCGCUCAGAAUGAGGCCACCCAGUAGUUAGGUGUGAAUUUUCGAGACCUCUGGCACCGUUCUAAGAUGGGUCCUCUCUUCGUAGGCUAAUGCAUUGGCCCUUUUUGACCCGUUUUGGGGCGAAAACAAAAACUGACUCCCGGGCAUAUUUUUUUCGGCCUUUAUGGGCAGAGAACUUUAAUACCGCUCAGAAUGAGGCCACCCAGUAGUUAGGUGUGAAUUUUCGAGACCUCUGGCACCGUUCUAAGAUGGGUCCUCUCUUCGUAGGCUAAUGCAUUGGCCCUUUUUGACCCGUUUUGGGGCGAAAACAAAAACUGACUCCCGGGCAUAUUUUUUUCGGCCUUUAUGGGCAGAGAACUUUAAUACCGCUCAGAAUGAGGCCACCCAGUAGUUAGGUGUGAAUUUUCGAGACCUCUGGCACCGUUCUAAGAUGGGUCCUCUCUUCGUAGGCUAAUGCAUUGGCCCUUUUUGACCCGUUUUGGGGCGAAAACAAAAACUGACUCCCGGGCAUAUUUUUUUCGGCCUUUAUGGGCAGAGAACUUUAAUACCGCUCAGAAUGAGGCCACCCAGUAGUUAGGUGUGAAUUUUCGAGACCUCUGGCACCGUUCUAAGAUGGGUCCUCUCUUCGUAGGCUAAUGCAUUGGCCCUUUUUGACCCGUUUUGGGGCGAAAACAAAAACUGACUCCCGGGCAUAUUUUUUUCGGCCUUUAUGGGCAGAGAACUUUAAUACCGCUCAGAAUGAGGCCACCCAGUAGUUAGGUGUGAAUUUUCGAGACCUCUGGCACCGUUCUAAGAUGGGUCCUCUCUUCGUAGGCUAAUGCAUUGGCCCUUUUUGACCCGUUUUGGGGCGAAAACAAAAACUGACUCCCGGGCAUAUUUUUUUCGGCCUUUAUGGGCAGAGAACUUUAAUGCCGCUCAGAAUGAGGCCACCCAGUAGUUAGGUGUGAAUUUUCGAGACCUCUGGCACCGUUCUAAGAUGGGUCCUCUCUUCGUAGGCUAAUGCAUUGGCCCUUUUUGACCCGUUUUGGGGCGAAAACAAAAACUGACUCCCGGGCAUAUUUUUUUCGGCCUUUAUGGGCAGAGAACUUUAAUACCGCUCAGAAUGAGGCCACCCAGUAGUUAGGUGUGAAUUUUCGAGACCUCUGGCACCGUUCUAAGAUGGGUCCUCUCUUCGUAGGCUAAUGCAUUGGCCCUUUUUGACCCGUUUUGGGGCGAAAACAAAAACUGACUCCCGGGCAUAUUUUUUUCGGCCUUUAUGGGCAGAGAACUUUAAUGCCGCUCAGAAUGAGGCCACCCAGUAGUUAGGUGUGAAUUUUCGAGACCUCUGGCACCGUUCUAAGAUGGGUCCUCUCUUCGUAGGCUAAUGCAUUGGCCCUUUUUGACCCGUUUUGGGGCGAAAACAAAAACUGACUCCCGGGCAUAUUUUUUUCGGCCUUUAUGGGCAGAGAACUUUAAUGCCGCUCAGAAUGAGGCCACCCAGUAGUUAGGUGUGAAUUUUCGAGACCUCUGGCACCGUUCUAAGAUGGGUCCUCUCUUCGUAGGCUAAUGCAUUGGCCCUUUUUGACCCGUUUUGGGGCGAAAACAAAAACUGACUCCCGGGCAUAUUUUUUUCGGCCUUUAUGGGCAGAGAACUUUAAUACCGCUCAGAAUGAGGCCACCCAGUAGUUAGGUGUGAAUUUUCGAGACCUCUGGCACCGUUCUAAGAUGGGUCCUCUCUUCGUAGGCUAAUGCAUUGGCCCUUUUUGACCCGUUUUGGGGCGAAAACAAAAACUGACUCCCGGGCAUAUUUUUUUCGGCCUUUAUGGGCAGAGAACUUUAAUGCCGCUCAGAAUGAGGCCACCCAGUAGUUAGGUGUGAAUUUUCGAGACCUCUGGCACCGUUCUAAGAUGGGUCCUCUCUUCGUAGGCUAAUGCAUUGGCCCUUUUUGACCCGUUUUGGGGCGAAAACAAAAACUGACUCCCGGGCAUAUUUUUUUCGGCCUUUAUGGGCAGAGAACUUUAAUGCCGCUCAGAAUGAGGCCACCCAGUAGUUAGGUGUGAAUUUUCGAGACCUCUGGCACCGUUCUAAGAUGGGUCCUCUCUUCGUAGGCUAAUGCAUUGGCCCUUUUUGACCCGUUUUGGGGCGAAAACAAAAACUGACUCCCGGGCAUAUUUUUUUCGGCCUUUAUGGGCAGAGAACUUUAAUGCCGCUCAGAAUGAGGCCACCCAGUAGUUAGGUGUGAAUUUUCGAGACCUCUGGCACCGUUCUAAGAUGGGUCCUCUCUUCGUAGGCUAAUGCAUUGGCCCUUUUUGACCCGUUUUGGGGCGAAAACAAAAACUGACUCCCGGGCAUAUUUUUUUCGGCCUUUAUGGGCAGAGAACUUUAAUGCCGCUCAGAAUGAGGCCACCCAGUAGUUAGGUGUGAAUUUUCGAGACCUCUGGCACCGUUCUAAGAUGGGUCCUCUCUUCGUAGGCUAAUGCAUUGGCCCUUUUUGACCCGUUUUGGGGCGAAAACAAAAACUGACUCCCGGGCAUAUUUUUUUCGGCCUUUAUGGGCAGAGAACUUUAAUGCCGCUCAGAAUGAGGCCACCCAGUAGUUAGGUGUGAAUUUUCGAGACCUCUGGCACCGUUCUAAGAUGGGUCCUCUCUUCGUAGGCUAAUGCAUUGGCCCUUUUUGACCCGUUUUGGGGCGAAAACAAAAACUGACUCCCGGGCAUAUUUUUUUCGGCCUUUAUGGGCAGAGAACUUUAAUGCCGCUCAGAAUGAGGCCACCCAGUAGUUAGGUGUGAAUUUUCGAGACCUCUGGCACCGUUCUAAGAUGGGUCCUCUCUUCGUAGGCUAAUGCAUUGGCCCUUUUUGACCCGUUUUGGGGCGAAAACAAAAACUGACUCCCGGGCAUAUUUUUUUCGGCCUUUAUGGGCAGAGAACUUUAAUGCCGCUCAGAAUGAGGCCACCCAGUAGUUAGGUGUGAAUUUUCGAGACCUCUGGCACCGUUCUAAGAUGGGUCCUCUCUUCGUAGGCUAAUGCAUUGGCCCUUUUUGACCCGUUUUGGGGCGAAAACAAAAACUGACUCCCGGGCAUAUUUUUUUCGGCCUUUAUGGGCAGAGAACUUUAAUGCCGCUCAGAAUGAGGCCACCCAGUAGUUAGGUGUGAAUUUUCGAGACCUCUGGCACCGUUCUAAGAUGGGUCCUCUCUUCGUAGGCUAAUGCAUUGGCCCUUUUUGACCCGUUUUGGGGCGAAAACAAAAACUGACUCCCGGGCAUAUUUUUUUCGGCCUUUAUGGGCAGAGAACUUUAAUGCCGCUCAGAAUGAGGCCACCCAGUAGUUAGGUGUGAAUUUUCGAGACCUCUGGCACCGUUCUAAGAUGGGUCCUCUCUUCGUAGGCUAAUGCAUUGGCCCUUUUUGACCCGUUUUGGGGCGAAAACAAAAACUGACUCCCGGGCAUAUUUUUUUCGGCCUUUAUGGGCAGAGAACUUUAAUGCCGCUCAGAAUGAGGCCACCCAGUAGUUAGGUGUGAAUUUUCGAGACCUCUGGCACCGUUCUAAGAUGGGUCCUCUCUUCGUAGGCUAAUGCAUUGGCCCUUUUUGACCCGUUUUGGGGCGAAAACAAAAACUGACUCCCGGGCAUAUUUUUUUCGGCCUUUAUGGGCAGAGAACUUUAAUGCCGCUCAGAAUGAGGCCACCCAGUAGUUAGGUGUGAAUUUUCGAGACCUCUGGCACCGUUCUAAGAUGGGUCCUCUCUUCGUAGGCUAAUGCAUUGGCCCUUUUUGACCCGUUUUGGGGCGAAAACAAAAACUGACUCCCGGGCAUAUUUUUUUCGGCCUUUAUGGGCAGAGAACUUUAAUACCGCUCAGAAUGAGGCCACCCAGUAGUUAGGUGUGAAUUUUCGAGACCUCUGGCACCGUUCUAAGAUGGGUCCUCUCUUCGUAGGCUAAUGCAUUGGCCCUUUUUGACCCGUUUUGGGGCGAAAACAAAAACUGACUCCCGGGCAUAUUUUUUUCGGCCUUUAUGGGCAGAGAACUUUAAUGCCGCUCAGAAUGAGGCCACCCAGUAGUUAGGUGUGAAUUUUCGAGACCUCUGGCACCGUUCUAAGAUGGGUCCUCUCUUCGUAGGCUAAUGCAUUGGCCCUUUUUGACCCGUUUUGGGGCGAAAACAAAAACUGACUCCCGGGCAUAUUUUUUUCGGCCUUUAUGGGCAGAGAACUUUAAUACCGCUCAGAAUGAGGCCACCCAGUAGUUAGGUGUGAAUUUUCGAGACCUCUGGCACCGUUCUAAGAUGGGUCCUCUCUUCGUAGGCUAAUGCAUUGGCCCUUUUUGACCCGUUUUGGGGCGAAAACAAAAACUGACUCCCGGGCAUAUUUUUUUCGGCCUUUAUGGGCAGAGAACUUUAAUGCCGCUCAGAAUGAGGCCACCCAGUAGUUAGGUGUGAAUUUUCGAGACCUCUGGCACCGUUCUAAGAUGGGUCCUCUCUUCGUAGGCUAAUGCAUUGGCCCUUUUUGACCCGUUUUGGGGCGAAAACAAAAACUGACUCCCGGGCAUAUUUUUUUCGGCCUUUAUGGGCAGAGAACUUUAAUGCCGCUCAGAAUGAGGCCACCCAGUAGUUAGGUGUGAAUUUUCGAGACCUCUGGCACCGUUCUAAGAUGGGUCCUCUCUUCGUAGGGCUAAUGCAUUGGCCCUUUUUGACCCGUUUUGGGGCGAAAACAAAAACUGACUCCCGGGCAUAUUUUUUUCGGCCUUUAUGGGCAGAGAACUUUAAUACCGCUCAGAAUGAGGCCACCCAGUAGUUAGGUGUGAAUUUUCGAGACCUCUGGCACCGUUCUAAGAUGGGUCCUCUCUUCGUAGGCUAAUGCAUUGGCCCUUUUUGACCCGUUUUGGGGCGAAAACAAAAACUGACUCCCGGGCAUAUUUUUUUCGGCCUUUAUGGGCAGAGAACUUUAAUGCCGCUCAGAAUGAGGCCACCCAGUAGUUAGGUGUGAAUUUUCGAGACCUCUGGCACCGUUCUAAGAUGGGUCCUCUCUUCGUAGGCUAAUGCAUUGGCCCUUUUUGACCCGUUUUGGGGCGAAAACCAAAAACUGACUCCCGGGCAUAUUUUUUUCGGCCUUUAUGGGCAGAGAACUUUAAUACCGCUCAGAAUGAGGCCACCACCCAGUAGUUAGGUGUGAAUUUUCGAGACCUCUGGCACCGUUCUAAGAUGGGUCCUCUCUUCGUAGGCUAAUGCAUUGGCCCUUUUUGACCCGUUUUGGGGCGAAAACAAAAACUGACUCCCGGGCAUAUUUUUUUCGGCCUUUAUGGGCAGAGAAACUUUAAUGCCGCUCAGAAUGAGGCCACCCAGUAGUUAGGUGUGAAUUUUCGAGACCUCUGGCACCGUUCUAAGAUGGGUCCUCUCUUCGUAGGCUAAUGCAUUGGCCCUUUUUGACCCGUUUUGGGGCGAAAACAAAAACUGACUCCCGGGCAUAUUUUUUUCGGCCUUUAUGGGCAGAGAACUUUAAUACCGCUCAGAAUGAGGCCACCCAGUAGUUAGGUGUGAAUUUUCGAGACCUCUGGCACCGUUCUAAGAUGGGUCCUCUCUUCGUAGGCUAAUGCAUUGGCCCUUUUUGACCCGUUUUGGGGCGAAAACAAAAACUGACUCCCGGGCAUAUUUUUUUCGGCCUUUAUGGGCAAAGAACUUUAAUGCCGCUCAGAAUGAGGCCACCCAGUAGUUAGGUGUGAAUUUUCGAGACCUCUGGCACCGUUCUAAGAUGGGUCCUCUCUUCGUAGGCUAAUGCAUUGGCCCUUUUUGACCCGUUUUGGGGCGAAAAACAAAAACUGACUCCCGGGCAUAUUUUUUUCGGCCUUUAUGGGCAAAGAACUUUAAUGCCGCUCAGAAUGAGGCCACCCAGUAGUUAGGUGUGAAUUUUCGAGACCUCUGGCACCGUUCUAAGAUGGGUCCUCUCUUCGUAGGCUAAUGCAUUGGCCCUUUUUGACCCGUUUUGGGGCGAAAACAAAAAACUGACUCCCGGGCAUAUUUUUUUCGGCCUUUAUGGGCAGAGAACUUUAAUGCCGCUCAGAAUGAGGCCACCCAGUAGUUAGGUGUGAAUUUUCGAGACCUCUGGCACCGUUCUAAGAUGGGUCCUCUCUUCGUAGGCUAAUGCAUUGGCCCUUUUUGACCCGUUUUGGGGCGAAAACAAAAACUGACUCCCGGGCAUAUUUUUUUCGGCCUUUAUGGGCAGAGAACUUUAAUACCGCUCAGAAUGAGGCCACCCAGUAGUUAGGUGUGAAUUUUCGAGACCUCUGGCACCGUUCUAAGAUGGGUCCUCUCUUCGUAGGCUAAUGCAUUGGCCCUUUUUGACCCGUUUUGGGGCGAAAACAAAAACUGACUCCCGGGCAUAUUUUUUUCGGCCUUUAUGGGCAGAGAACUUUAAUACCGCUCAGAAUGAGGCCACCCAGUAGUUAGGUGUGAAUUUUCGAGACCCUCUGGCACCGUUCUAAGAUGGGUCCUCUCUUCGUAGGCUAAUGCAUUGGCCCUUUUUGACCCGUUUUGGGGCGAAAACAAAAACUGACUCCCGGGCAUAUUUUUUUCGGCCUUUAUGGGCAGAGAACUUUAAUACCGCUCAGAAUGAGGCCACCCAGUAGUUAGGUGUGAAUUUUCGAGACCUCUUGGCACCGUUCUAAGAUGGGUCCUCUCUUCGUAGGCUAAUGCAUUGGCCCUUUUUGACCCGUUUUGGGGCGAAAACAAAAACUGACUCCCGGGCAUAUUUUUUUCGGCCUUUAUGGGCAGAGAACUUUAAUGCCGCUCAGAAUGAGGCCACCCAGUAGUUAGGUGUGAAUUUUCGAGACCUCUGGCACCGUUCUAAGAUGGGUCCUCUCUUCGUAGGCUAAUGCAUUGGCCCUUUUUGACCCGUUUUGGGGCGAAAACAAAAACUGACUCCCGGGCAUAUUUUUUUCGGCCUUUAUGGGCAGAGAACUUUAAUACCGCUCAAAAAUGAGGCCACCCAGUAGUUAGGUGUGAAUUUUCGAGACCUCUGGCACCGUUCUAAGAUGGGUCCUCUCUUCGUAGGCUAAUGCAUUGGCCCUUUUUGACCCGUUUUGGGGCGAAAACAAAAACUGACUCCCGGGCAUAUUUUUUUCGGCCUUUAUGGGCAGAGAACUUUAAUACCGCUCAGAAUGAGGCCACCCAGUAGUUAGGUGUGAAUUUUCGAGACCUUUGGCACCGUUCUAAGAUGGGUCCUCUCUUCGUAGGCUAAUGCAUUGGCCCUUUUUGACCCGUUUUGGGGCGAAAACAAAAACUGACUCCCGGGCAUAUUUUUUUCGGCCUUUAUGGGCAGAGAACUUUAAUGCCGCUCAGAAUGAGGCCACCCAGUAGUUAGGUGUGAAUUUUCGAGACCUCUGGCACCGUUCUAAGAUGGGUCCUCUCUUCGUAGGCUAAUGCAUUGGCCCUUUUUGACCCGUUUUGGGGCGAAAACAAAAACUGACUCCCGGGCAUAUUUUUUUCGGCCUUUAUGGGCAGAGAACUUUAAUGCCGCUCAGAAUGAGGCCACCCAGUAGUUAGGUGUGAAUUUUCGAGACCUCUGGCACCGUUCUAAGAUGGGUCCUCUCUUCGUAGGCUAAUGCAUUGGCCCUUUUUGACCCGUUUUGGGGCGAAAACAAAAACUGACUCCCGGGCAUAUUUUUUUCGGCCUUUAUGGGCAGAGAACUUUAAUACCGCUCAGAAUGAGGCCACCCAGUAGUUAGGUGUGAAUUUUCGAGACCUCUGGCACCGUUCUAAGAUGGGUCCUCUCUUCGUAGGCUAAUGCAUUGGCCCUUUUUGACCCGUUUUGGGGCGAAAACAAAAACUGACUCCCGGGCAUAUUUUUUUCGGCCUUUAUGGGCAGAGAACUUUAAUACCGCUCAGAAUGAGGCCACCCAGUAGUUAGGUGUGAAUUUUCGAGACCUCUGGCACCGUUCUAAGAUGGGUCCUCUCUUCGUAGGCUAAUGCAUUGGCCCUUUUUGACCCGUUUUGGGGCGAAAACAAAAACUGACUCCCGGGCAUAUUUUUUUCGGCCUUUAUGGGCAGAGAACUUUAAUACCGCUCAGAAUGAGGCCACCCAGUAGUUAGGUGUGAAUUUUCGAGACCUUCUGGCACCGUUCUAAGAUGGGUCCUCUCUUCGUAGGCUAAUGCAUUGGCCCUUUUUGACCCGUUUUGGGGCGAAAACAAAAACUGACUCCCGGGCAUAUUUUUUUCGGCCUUUAUGGGCAGAGAACUUUAAUGCCGCUCAGAAUGAGGCCACCCAGUAGUUAGGUGUGAAUUUUCGAGACCUCUGGCACCGUUCUAAGAUGGGUCCUCUCUUCGUAGGCUAAUGCAUUGGCCCUUUUUGACCCGUUUUGGGGCGAAAACAAAAACUGACUCCCGGGCAUAUUUUUUUCGGCCUUUAUGGGCAGAGAACUUUAAUACCGCUCAGAAUGAGGCCACCCAGUAGUUAGGUGUGAAUUUUCGAGACCUCUGGCACCGUUCUAAGAUGGGUCCUCUCUUCGUAGGCUAAUGCAUUGGCCCUUUUUGACCCGUUUUGGGGCGAAAACAAAAACUGACUCCCGGGCAUAUUUUUUUCGGCCUUUAUGGGCAGAGAACUUUAAUACCGCUCAGAAUGAGGCCACCCAGUAGUUAGGUGUGAAUUUUCGAGACCUCUGGCACCGUUCUAAGAUGGGUCCUCUCUUCGUAGGCUAAUGCAUUGGCCCUUUUUGACCCGUUUUGGGGCGAAAACAAAAACUGACUCCCGGGCAUAUUUUUUUCGGCCUUUAUGGGCAGAGAACUUUAAUGCCGCUCAGAAUGAGGCCACCCAGUAGUUAGGUGUGAAUUUUCGAGACCUCUGGCACCGUUCUAAGAUGGGUCCUCUCUUCGUAGGCUAAUGCAUUGGCCCUUUUUGACCCGUUUUGGGGCGAAAACAAAAACUGACUCCCGGGCAUAUUUUUUUCGGCCUUUAUGGGCAGAGAACUUUAAUACCGCUCAGAAAUGAGGCCACCCAGUAGUUAGGUGUGAAUUUUCGAGACCUCUGGCACCGUUCUAAGAUGGGUCCUCUCUUCGUAGGCUAAUGCAUUGGCCCUUUUUGACCCGUUUUGGGGCGAAAACAAAAACUGACUCCCGGGCAUAUUUUUUUCGGCCUUUAUGGGCAGAGAACUUUAAUACCGCUCAGAAUGAGGCCACCCAGUAGUUAGGUGUGAAUUUUCGAGACCUCUCGGCACCGUUCUAAGAUGGGUCCUCUCUUCGUAGGCUAAUGCAUUGGCCCUUUUUGACCCGUUUUGGGGCGAAAACAAAAACUGACUCCCGGGCAUAUUUUUUUCGGCCUUUAUGGGCAGAGAACUUUAAUGCCGCUCAGAAAUGAGGCCACCCAGUAGUUAGGUGUGAAUUUUCGAGACCUCUGGCACCGUUCUAAGAUGGGUCCUCUCUUCGUAGGCUAAUGCAUUGGCCCUUUUUGACCCGUUUUGGGGCGAAAACAAAAACUGACUCCCGGGCAUAUUUUUUUCGGCCUUUAUGGGCAGAGAACUUUAAUACCGCUCAGAAUGAGGCCACCCAGUAGUUAGGUGUGAAUUUUCGAGACCUCUGGCACCGUUCUAAGAUGGGUCCUCUCUUCGUAGGCUAAUGCAUUGGCCCUUUUUGACCCGUUUUGGGGCGAAAACAAAAACUGACUCCCGGGCAUAUUUUUUUCGGCCUUUAUGGGCAGAGAACUUUAAUACCGCUCAGAAUGAGGCCACCCAGUAGUUAGGUGUGAAUUUUCGAGACCUCUUGGCACCGUUCUAAGAUGGGUCCUCUCUUCGUAGGCUAAUGCAUUGGCCCUUUUUGACCCGUUUUGGGGCGAAAACAAAAACUGACUCCCGGGCAUAUUUUUUUCGGCCUUUAUGGGCAGAGAACUUUAAUGCCGCUCAGAAUGAGGCCACCCAGUAGUUAGGUGUGAAUUUUCGAGACCUCUGGCACCGUUCUAAGAUGGGUCCUCUCUUCGUAGGCUAAUGCAUUGGCCCUUUUUGACCCGUUUUGGGGCGAAAACAAAAACUGACUCCCGGGCAUAUUUUUUUCGGCCUUUAUGGGCAGAGAACUUUAAUGCCGCUCAGAAUGAGGCCACCCAGUAGUUAGGUGUGAAUUUUCGAGACCUUUGGCACCGUUCUAAGAUGGGUCCUCUCUUCGUAGGCUAAUGCAUUGGCCCUUUUUGACCCGUUUUGGGGCGAAAACAAAAACUGACUCCCGGGCAUAUUUUUUUCGGCCUUUAUGGGCAGAGAACUUUAAUACCGCUCAGAAUGAGGCCACCCAGUAGUUAGGUGUGAAUUUUCGAGACCUCUGGCACCGUUCUAAGAUGGGUCCUCUCUUCGUAGGCUAAUGCAUUGGCCCUUUUUGACCCGUUUUGGGGCGAAAACAAAAACUGACUCCCGGGCAUAUUUUUUUCGGCCUUUAUGGGCAGAGAACUUUAAUGCCGCUCAGAAUGAGGCCACCCAGUAGUUAGGUGUGAAUUUUCGAGACCUCUGGCACCGUUCUAAGAUGGGUCCUCUCUUCGUAGGCUAAUGCAUUGGCCCUUUUUGACCCGUUUUGGGGCGAAAACAAAAACUGACUCCCGGGCAUAUUUUUUUCGGCCUUUAUGGGCAGAGAACUUUAAUACCGCUCAGAAUGAGGCCACCCAGUAGUUAGGUGUGAAUUUUCGAGACCUCUGGCACCGUUCUAAGAUGGGUCCUCUCUUCGUAGGCUAAUGCAUUGGCCCUUUUUGACCCGUUUUGGGGCGAAAACAAAAACUGACUCCCGGGCAUAUUUUUUUCGGCCUUUAUGGGCAGAGAACUCUUAAUAGCCGCUCAGAAAUGGCCAGGCCACCCAGUAGUUAGGUGUGAAUUUUCGAGACCUCUGGCACCGUUCUAAGAUGGGUCCUCUCUUCGUAGGCUAAUGCAUUGGCCCUUUUUGACCCGUUUUGGGGCGAAAACAAAAACUGACUCCCGGGCAUAUUUUUUUCGGCCUUUAUGGGCAGAGAACUUUAAUGCCGCUCAGAAUGAGGCCACCCAGUAGUUAGGUGUGAAUUUUCGAGACCUCUGGCACCGUUCUAAGAUGGGUCCUCUCUUCGUAGGCUAAUGCAUUGGCCCUUUUUGACCCGUUUUGGGGCGAAAACAAAAACUGACUCCCGGGCAUAUUUUUUUCGGCCUUUAUGGGCAGAGAACUUUAAUGCCGCUCAGAAUGAGGCCACCCAGUAGUUAGGUGUGAAUUUUCGAGACCUUUGGCACCGUUCUAAGAUGGGUCCUCUCUUCGUAGGCUAAUGCAUUGGCCCUUUUUGACCCGUUUUGGGGCGAAAACAAAAACUGACUCCCGGGCAUAUUUUUUUCGGCCUUUAUGGGCAGAGAACUUUAAUGCCGCUCAGAAUGAGGCCACCCAGUAGUUAGGUGUGAAUUUUCGAGACCUCUGGCACCGUUCUAAGAUGGGUCCUCUCUUCGUAGGCUAAUGCAUUGGCCCUUUUUGACCCGUUUUGGGGCGAAAACAAAAACUGACUCCCGGGCAUAUUUUUUUCGGCCUUUAUGGGCAGAGAACUUUAAUACCGCUCAGAAUGAGGCCACCCAGUAGUUAGGUGUGAAUUUUCGAGACCUUUGGCACCGUUCUAAGAUGGGUCCUCUCUUCGUAGGCUAAUGCAUUGGCCCUUUUUGACCCGUUUUGGGGCGAAAACAAAAACUGACUCCCGGGCAUAUUUUUUUCGGCCUUUAUGGGCAGAGAACUUUAAUACCGCUCAGAAUGAGGCCACCCAGUAGUUAGGUGUGAAUUUUCGAGACCUCUGGCACCGUUCUAAGAUGGGUCCUCUCUUCGUAGGCUAAUGCAUUGGCCCUUUUUGACCCGUUUUGGGGCGAAAACAAAAACUGACUCCCGGGCAUAUUUUUUUCGGCCUUUAUGGGCAGAGAACUUUAAUGCCGCUCAGAAUGAGGCCACCCAGUAGUUAGGUGUGAAUUUUCGAGACCUUUGGCCACCGUUCUAAGAUGGGUCCUCUCUUCGUAGGCUAAUGCAUUGGCCCUUUUUGACCCGUUUUGGGGCGAAAACAAAAACUGACUCCCGGGCAUAUUUUUUUCGGCCUUUAUGGGCAGAGAACUUUAAUACCGCUCAGAAUGAGGCCACCCAGUAGUUAGGUGUGAAUUUUCGAGACCUUUGGCACCGUUCUAAGAUGGGUCCUCUCUUCGUAGGCUAAUGCAUUGGCCCUUUUUGACCCGUUUUGGGGCGAAAACAAAAACUGACUCCCGGGCAUAUUUUUUUCGGCCUUUAUGGGCAGAGAACUUUAAUACCGCUCAGAAUGAGGCCACCCAGUAGUUAGGUGUGAAUUUUCGAGACCUUCUGGCACCGUUCUAAGAUGGGUCCUCUCUUCGUAGGCUAAUGCAUUGGCCCUUUUUGACCCGUUUUGGGGCGAAAACAAAAACUGACUCCCGGGCAUAUUUUUUUCGGCCUUUAUGGGCAGAGAACUUUAAUGCCGCUCAGAAUGAGGCCACCCAGUAGUUAGGUGUGAAUUUUCGAGACCUCUGGCACCGUUCUAAGAUGGGUCCUCUCUUCGUAGGCUAAUGCAUUGGCCCUUUUUGACCCGUUUUGGGGCGAAAACAAAAACUGACUCCCGGGCAUAUUUUUUUCGGCCUUUAUGGGCAGAGAACUUUAAUACCGCUCAGAAUGAGGCCACCCAGUAGUUAGGUGUGAAUUUUCGAGACCUUUGGCACCGUUCUAAGAUGGGUCCUCUCUUCGUAGGCUAAUGCAUUGGCCCUUUUUGACCCGUUUUGGGGCGAAAACAAAAACUGACUCCCGGGCAUAUUUUUUUCGGCCUUUAUGGGCAGAGAACUUUAAUGCCGCUCAGAAUGAGGCCACCCAGUAGUUAGGUGUGAAUUUUCGAGACCUUUGGCACCGUUCUAAGAUGGGUCCUCUCUUCGUAGGCUAAUGCAUUGGCCCUUUUUGACCCGUUUUGGGGCGAAAACAAAAACUGACUCCCGGGCAUAUUUUUUUCGGCCUUUAUGGGCAGAGAACUUUAAUACCGCUCAAAAUGAGGCCACCCAGUAGUUAGGUGUGAAUUUUCGAGACCUCUGGCACCGUUCUAAGAUGGGUCCUCUCUUCGUAGGCUAAUGCAUUGGCCCUUUUUGACCCGUUUUGGGGCGAAAACAAAAACUGACUCCCGGGCAUAUUUUUUUCGGCCUUUAUGGGCAGAGAACUUUAAUACCGCUCAAAAUGAGGCCACCCAGUAGUUAGGUGUGAAUUUUCGAGACCUUUGGCACCGUUCUAAGAUGGGUCCUCUCUUCGUAGGCUAAUGCAUUGGCCCUUUUUGACCCGUUUUGGGGCGAAAACAAAAACUGACUCCCGGGCAUAUUUUUUUCGGCCUUUAUGGGCAGAGAACUUUAAUGCCGCUCAGAAUGAGGCCACCCAGUAGUUAGGUGUGAAUUUUCGAGACCUUUGGCACCGUUCUAAGAUGGGUCCUCUCUUCGUAGGCUAAUGCAUUGGCCCUUUUUGACCCGUUUUGGGGCGAAAACAAAAACUGACUCCCGGGCAUAUUUUUUUCGGCCUUUAUGGGCAGAGAACUUUAAUACCGCUCAAAAUGAGGCCACCCAGUAGUUAGGUGUGAAUUUUCGAGACCUUUGGCACCGUUCUAAGAUGGGUCCUCUCUUCGUAGGCUAAUGCAUUGGCCCUUUUUGACCCGUUUUGGGGCGAAAACAAAAACUGACUCCCGGGCAUAUUUUUUUCGGCCUUUAUGGGCAGAGAACUUUAAUACCGCUCAAAAUGAGGCCACCCAGUAGUUAGGUGUGAAUUUUCGAGACCUUUGGCACCGUUCUAAGAUGGGUCCUCUCUUCGUAGGCUAAUGCAUUGGCCCUUUUUGACCCGUUUUGGGGCGAAAACAAAAACUGACUCCCGGGCAUAUUUUUUUCGGCCUUUAUGGGCAGAGAACUUUAAUACCGCUCAAAAUGAGGCCACCCAGUAGUUAGGUGUGAAUUUUCGAGACCUCUGGCACCGUUCUAAGAUGGGUCCUCUCUUCGUAGGCUAAUGCAUUGGCCCUUUUUGACCCGUUUUGGGGCGAAAACAAAAACUGACUCCCGGGCAUAUUUUUUUCGGCCUUUAUGGGCAGAGAACUUUAAUGCCGCUCAAAAUGAGGCCACCCAGUAGUUAGGUGUGAAUUUUCGAGACCUCUGGCACCGUUCUAAGAUGGGUCCUCUCUUCGUAGGCUAAUGCAUUGGCCCUUUUUGACCCGUUUUGGGGCGAAAACAAAAACUGACUCCCGGGCAUAUUUUUUUCGGCCUUUAUGGGCAGAGAACUUUAAUACCGCUCAGAAUGAGGCCACCCAGUAGUUAGGUGUGAAUUUUCGAGACCUUUGGCACCGUUCUAAGAUGGGUCCUCUCUUCGUAGGCUAAUGCAUUGGCCCUUUUUGACCCGUUUUGGGGCGAAAACAAAAACUGACUCCCGGGCAUAUUUUUUUCGGCCUUUAUGGGCAGAGAACUUUAAUACCGCUCAAAAUGAGGCCACCCAGUAGUUAGGUGUGAAUUUUCGAGACCUUUGGCACCGUUCUAAGAUGGGUCCUCUCUUCGUAGGCUAAUGCAUUGGCCCUUUUUGACCCGUUUUGGGGCGAAAACAAAAACUGACUCCCGGGCAUAUUUUUUUCGGCCUUUAUGGGCAGAGAACUUUAAUACCGCUCAAAAUGAGGCCACCCAGUAGUUAGGUGUGAAUUUUCGAGACCUUUGGCACCGUUCUAAGAUGGGUCCUCUCUUCGUAGGCUAAUGCAUUGGCCCUUUUUGACCCGUUUUGGGGCGAAAACAAAAACUGACUCCCGGGCAUAUUUUUUUCGGCCUUUAUGGGCAGAGAACUUUAAUACCGCUCAAAAUGAGGCCACCCAGUAGUUAGGUGUGAAUUUUCGAGACCUUUGGCACCGUUCUAAGAUGGGUCCUCUCUUCGUAGGCUAAUGCAUUGGCCCUUUUUGACCCGUUUUGGGGCGAAAACAAAAACUGACUCCCGGGCAUAUUUUUUUCGGCCUUUAUGGGCAGAGAACUUUAAUACCGCUCAAAAUGAGGCCACCCAGUAGUUAGGUGUGAAUUUUCGAGACCUUUGGCACCGUUCUAAGAUGGGUCCUCUCUUCGUAGGCUAAUGCAUUGGCCCUUUUUGACCCGUUUUGGGGCGAAAACAAAAACUGACUCCCGGGCAUAUUUUUUUCGGCCUUUAUGGGCAGAGAACUUUAAUACCGCUCAAAAUGAGGCCACCCAGUAGUUAGGUGUGAAUUUUCGAGACCUUUGGCACCGUUCUAAGAUGGGUCCUCUCUUCGUAGGCUAAUGCAUUGGCCCUUUUUGACCCGUUUUGGGGCGAAAACAAAAACUGACUCCCGGGCAUAUUUUUUUCGGCCUUUAUGGGCAGAGAACUUUAAUACCGCUCAAAAUGAGGCCACCCAGUAGUUAGGUGUGAAUUUUCGAGACCUUUGGCACCGUUCUAAGAUGGGUCCUCUCUUCGUAGGCUAAUGCAUUGGCCCUUUUUGACCCGUUUUGGGGCGAAAACAAAAACUGACUCCCGGGCAUAUUUUUUUCGGCCUUUAUGGGCAGAGAACUUUAAUACCGCUCAAAAUGAGGCCACCCAGUAGUUAGGUGUGAAUUUUCGAGACCUUUGGCACCGUUCUAAGAUGGGUCCUCUCUUCGUAGGCUAAUGCAUUGGCCCUUUUUGACCCGUUUUGGGGCGAAAACAAAAACUGACUCCCGGGCAUAUUUUUUUCGGCCUUUAUGGGCAGAGAACUUUAAUACCGCUCAAAAUGAGGCCACCCAGUAGUUAGGUGUGAAUUUUCGAGACCUUUGGCACCGUUCUAAGAUGGGUCCUCUCUUCGUAGGCUAAUGCAUUGGCCCUUUUUGACCCGUUUUGGGGCGAAAACAAAAACUGACUCCCGGGCAUAUUUUUUUCGGCCUUUAUGGGCAGAGAACUUUAAUACCGCUCAAAAUGAGGCCACCCAGUAGUUAGGUGUGAAUUUUCGAGACCUUUGGCACCGUUCUAAGAUGGGUCCUCUCUUCGUAGGCUAAUGCAUUGGCCCUUUUUGACCCGUUUUGGGGCGAAAACAAAAACUGACUCCCGGGCAUAUUUUUUUCGGCCUUUAUGGGCAGAGAACUUUAAUACCGCUCAAAAUGAGGCCACCCAGUAGUUAGGUGUGAAUUUUCGAGACCUUUGGCACCGUUCUAAGAUGGGUCCUCUCUUCGUAGGCUAAUGCAUUGGCCCUUUUUGACCCGUUUUGGGGCGAAAACAAAAACUGACUCCCGGGCAUAUUUUUUUCGGCCUUUAUGGGCAGAGAACUUUAAUACCGCUCAAAAUGAGGCCACCCAGUAGUUAGGUGUGAAUUUUCGAGACCUUUGGCACCGUUCUAAGAUGGGUCCUCUCUUCGUAGGCUAAUGCAUUGGCCCUUUUUGACCCGUUUUGGGGCGAAAACAAAAACUGACUCCCGGGCAUAUUUUUUUCGGCCUUUAUGGGCAGAGAACUUUAAUACCGCUCAAAAUGAGGCCACCCAGUAGUUAGGUGUGAAUUUUCGAGACCUUUGGCACCGUUCUAAGAUGGGUCCUCUCUUCGUAGGCUAAUGCAUUGGCCCUUUUUGACCCGUUUUGGGGCGAAAACAAAAACUGACUCCCGGGCAUAUUUUUUUCGGCCUUUAUGGGCAGAGAACUUUAAUACCGCUCAAAAUGAGGCCACCCAGUAGUUAGGUGUGAAUUUUCGAGACCUUUGGCACCGUUCUAAGAUGGGUCCUCUCUUCGUAGGCUAAUGCAUUGGCCCUUUUUGACCCGUUUUGGGGCGAAAACAAAAACUGACUCCCGGGCAUAUUUUUUUCGGCCUUUAUGGGCAGAGAACUUUAAUACCGCUCAAAAUGAGGCCACCCAGUAGUUAGGUGUGAAUUUUCGAGACCUUUGGCACCGUUCUAAGAUGGGUCCUCUCUUCGUAGGCUAAUGCAUUGGCCCUUUUUGACCCGUUUUGGGGCGAAAACAAAAACUGACUCCCGGGCAUAUUUUUUUCGGCCUUUAUGGGCAGAGAACUUUAAUACCGCUCAAAAUGAGGCCACCCAGUAGUUAGGUGUGAAUUUUCGAGACCUUUGGCACCGUUCUAAGAUGGGUCCUCUCUUCGUAGGCUAAUGCAUUGGCCCUUUUUGACCCGUUUUGGGGCGAAAACAAAAACUGACUCCCGGGCAUAUUUUUUUCGGCCUUUAUGGGCAGAGAACUUUAAUACCGCUCAAAAUGAGGCCACCCAGUAGUUAGGUGUGAAUUUUCGAGACCUUUGGCACCGUUCUAAGAUGGGUCCUCUCUUCGUAGGCUAAUGCAUUGGCCCUUUUUGACCCGUUUUGGGGCGAAAACAAAAACUGACUCCCGGGCAUAUUUUUUUCGGCCUUUAUGGGCAGAGAACUUUAAUACCGCUCAAAAUGAGGCCACCCAGUAGUUAGGUGUGAAUUUUCGAGACCUUUGGCACCGUUCUAAGAUGGGUCCUCUCUUCGUAGGCUAAUGCAUUGGCCCUUUUUGACCCGUUUUGGGGCGAAAACAAAAACUGACUCCCGGGCAUAUUUUUUUCGGCCUUUAUGGGCAGAGAACUUUAAUACCGCUCAAAAUGAGGCCACCCAGUAGUUAGGUGUGAAUUUUCGAGACCUUUGGCACCGUUCUAAGAUGGGUCCUCUCUUCGUAGGCUAAUGCAUUGGCCCUUUUUGACCCGUUUUGGGGCGAAAACAAAAACUGACUCCCGGGCAUAUUUUUUUCGGCCUUUAUGGGCAGAGAACUUUAAUACCGCUCAAAAUGAGGCCACCCAGUAGUUAGGUGUGAAUUUUCGAGACCUUUGGCACCGUUCUAAGAUGGGUCCUCUCUUCGUAGGCUAAUGCAUUGGCCCUUUUUGACCCGUUUUGGGGCGAAAACAAAAACUGACUCCCGGGCAUAUUUUUUUCGGCCUUUAUGGGCAGAGAACUUUAAUACCGCUCAAAAUGAGGCCACCCAGUAGUUAGGUGUGAAUUUUCGAGACCUUUGGCACCGUUCUAAGAUGGGUCCUCUCUUCGUAGGCUAAUGCAUUGGCCCUUUUUGACCCGUUUUGGGGCGAAAACAAAAACUGACUCCCGGGCAUAUUUUUUUCGGCCUUUAUGGGCAGAGAACUUUAAUACCGCUCAAAAUGAGGCCACCCAGUAGUUAGGUGUGAAUUUUCGAGACCUUUGGCACCGUUCUAAGAUGGGUCCUCUCUUCGUAGGCUAAUGCAUUGGCCCUUUUUGACCCGUUUUGGGGCGAAAACAAAAACUGACUCCCGGGCAUAUUUUUUUCGGCCUUUAUGGGCAGAGAACUUUAAUACCGCUCAAAAUGAGGCCACCCAGUAGUUAGGUGUGAAUUUUCGAGACCUUUGGCACCGUUCUAAGAUGGGUCCUCUCUUCGUAGGCUAAUGCAUUGGCCCUUUUUGACCCGUUUUGGGGCGAAAACAAAAACUGACUCCCGGGCAUAUUUUUUUCGGCCUUUAUGGGCAGAGAACUUUAAUACCGCUCAAAAUGAGGCCACCCAGUAGUUAGGUGUGAAUUUUCGAGACCUUUGGCACCGUUCUAAGAUGGGUCCUCUCUUCGUAGGCUAAUGCAUUGGCCCUUUUUGACCCGUUUUGGGGCGAAAACAAAAACUGACUCCCGGGCAUAUUUUUUUCGGCCUUUAUGGGCAGAGAACUUUAAUACCGCUCAAAAUGAGGCCACCCAGUAGUUAGGUGUGAAUUUUCGAGACCUUUGGCACCGUUCUAAGAUGGGUCCUCUCUUCGUAGGCUAAUGCAUUGGCCCUUUUUGACCCGUUUUGGGGCGAAAACAAAAACUGACUCCCGGGCAUAUUUUUUUCGGCCUUUAUGGGCAGAGAACUUUAAUACCGCUCAAAAUGAGGCCACCCAGUAGUUAGGUGUGAAUUUUCGAGACCUUUGGCACCGUUCUAAGAUGGGUCCUCUCUUCGUAGGCUAAUGCAUUGGCCCUUUUUGACCCGUUUUGGGGCGAAAACAAAAACUGACUCCCGGGCAUAUUUUUUUCGGCCUUUAUGGGCAGAGAACUUUAAUACCGCUCAAAAUGAGGCCACCCAGUAGUUAGGUGUGAAUUUUCGAGACCUUUGGCACCGUUCUAAGAUGGGUCCUCUCUUCGUAGGCUAAUGCAUUGGCCCUUUUUGACCCGUUUUGGGGCGAAAACAAAAACUGACUCCCGGGCAUAUUUUUUUCGGCCUUUAUGGGCAGAGAACUUUAAUACCGCUCAAAAUGAGGCCACCCAGUAGUUAGGUGUGAAUUUUCGAGACCUUUGGCACCGUUCUAAGAUGGGUCCUCUCUUCGUAGGCUAAUGCAUUGGCCCUUUUUGACCCGUUUUGGGGCGAAAACAAAAACUGACUCCCGGGCAUAUUUUUUUCGGCCUUUAUGGGCAGAGAACUUUAAUACCGCUCAAAAUGAGGCCACCCAGUAGUUAGGUGUGAAUUUUCGAGACCUUUGGCACCGUUCUAAGAUGGGUCCUCUCUUCGUAGGCUAAUGCAUUGGCCCUUUUUGACCCGUUUUGGGGCGAAAACAAAAACUGACUCCCGGGCAUAUUUUUUUCGGCCUUUAUGGGCAGAGAACUUUAAUACCGCUCAAAAUGAGGCCACCCAGUAGUUAGGUGUGAAUUUUCGAGACCUUUGGCACCGUUCUAAGAUGGGUCCUCUCUUCGUAGGCUAAUGCAUUGGCCCUUUUUGACCCGUUUUGGGGCGAAAACAAAAACUGACUCCCGGGCAUAUUUUUUUCGGCCUUUAUGGGCAGAGAACUUUAAUACCGCUCAAAAUGAGGCCACCCAGUAGUUAGGUGUGAAUUUUCGAGACCUUUGGCACCGUUCUAAGAUGGGUCCUCUCUUCGUAGGCUAAUGCAUUGGCCCUUUUUGACCCGUUUUGGGGCGAAAACAAAAACUGACUCCCGGGCAUAUUUUUUUCGGCCUUUAUGGGCAGAGAACUUUAAUACCGCUCAAAAUGAGGCCACCCAGUAGUUAGGUGUGAAUUUUCGAGACCUUUGGCACCGUUCUAAGAUGGGUCCUCUCUUCGUAGGCUAAUGCAUUGGCCCUUUUUGACCCGUUUUGGGGCGAAAACAAAAACUGACUCCCGGGCAUAUUUUUUUCGGCCUUUAUGGGCAGAGAACUUUAAUACCGCUCAAAAUGAGGCCACCCAGUAGUUAGGUGUGAAUUUUCGAGACCUUUGGCACCGUUCUAAGAUGGGUCCUCUCUUCGUAGGCUAAUGCAUUGGCCCUUUUUGACCCGUUUUGGGGCGAAAACAAAAACUGACUCCCGGGCAUAUUUUUUUCGGCCUUUAUGGGCAGAGAACUUUAAUACCGCUCAAAAUGAGGCCACCCAGUAGUUAGGUGUGAAUUUUCGAGACCUUUGGCACCGUUCUAAGAUGGGUCCUCUCUUCGUAGGCUAAUGCAUUGGCCCUUUUUGACCCGUUUUGGGGCGAAAACAAAAACUGACUCCCGGGCAUAUUUUUUUCGGCCUUUAUGGGCAGAGAACUUUAAUACCGCUCAAAAUGAGGCCACCCAGUAGUUAGGUGUGAAUUUUCGAGACCUCUUGGCACCGUUCUAAGAUGGGUCCUCUCUUCGUAGGCUAAUGCAUUGGCCCUUUUUGACCCGUUUUGGGGCGAAAACAAAAACUGACUCCCGGGCAUAUUUUUUUCGGCCUUUAUGGGCAGAGAACUUUAAUACCGCUCAAAAUGAGGCCACCCAGUAGUUAGGUGUGAAUUUUCGAGACCUCUGGCACCGUUCUAAGAUGGGUCCUCUCUUCGUAGGCUAAUGCAUUGGCCCUUUUUGACCCGUUUUGGGGCGAAAACAAAAACUGACUCCCGGGCAUAUUUUUUUCGGCCUUUAUGGGCAGAGAACUUUAAUGCCGCUCAAAAUGAGGCCACCCAGUAGUUAGGUGUGAAUUUUCGAGACCUCUGGCACCGUUCUAAGAUGGGUCCUCUCUUCGUAGGCUAAUGCAUUGGCCCUUUUUGACCCGUUUUGGGGCGAAAACAAAAACUGACUCCCGGGCAUAUUUUUUUCGGCCUUUAUGGGCAGAGAACUUUAAUACCGCUCAGAAUGAGGCCACCCAGUAGUUAGGUGUGAAUUUUCGAGACCUUCUGGCACCGUUCUAAGAUGGGUCCUCUCUUCGUAGGCUAAUGCAUUGGCCCUUUUUGACCCGUUUUGGGGCGAAAACAAAAACUGACUCCCGGGCAUAUUUUUUUCGGCCUUUAUGGGCAGAGAACUUUAAUACCGCUCAGAAUGAGGCCACCCAGUAGUUAGGUGUGAAUUUUCGAGACCUCUGGCACCGUUCUAAGAUGGGUCCUCUCUUCGUAGGCUAAUGCAUUGGCCCUUUUUGACCCGUUUUGGGGCGAAAACAAAAACUGACUCCCGGGCAUAUUUUUUUCGGCCUUUAUGGGCAGAGAACUUUAAUACCGCUCAGAAUGAGGCCACCCAGUAGUUAGGUGUGAAUUUUCGAGACCUUUGGCACCGUUCUAAGAUGGGUCCUCUCUUCGUAGGCUAAUGCAUUGGCCCUUUUUGACCCGUUUUGGGGCGAAAACAAAAACUGACUCCCGGGCAUAUUUUUUUCGGCCUUUAUGGGCAGAGAACUUUAAUGCCGCUCAGAAUGAGGCCACCCAGUAGUUAGGUGUGAAUUUUCGAGACCUUUGGCACCGUUCUAAGAUGGGUCCUCUCUUCGUAGGCUAAUGCAUUGGCCCUUUUUGACCCGUUUUGGGGCGAAAACAAAAACUGACUCCCGGGCAUAUUUUUUUCGGCCUUUAUGGGCAGAGAACUUUAAUGCCGCUCAGAAUGAGGCCACCCAGUAGUUAGGUGUGAAUUUUCGAGACCUCUGGCACCGUUCUAAGAUGGGUCCUCUCUUCGUAGGCUAAUGCAUUGGCCCUUUUUGACCCGUUUUGGGGCGAAAACAAAAACUGACUCCCGGGCAUAUUUUUUUCGGCCUUUAUGGGCAGAGAACUUUAAUACCGCUCAAAAUGAGGCCACCCAGUAGUUAGGUGUGAAUUUUCGAGACCUUUGGCACCGUUCUAAGAUGGGUCCUCUCUUCGUAGGCUAAUGCAUUGGCCCUUUUUGACCCGUUUUGGGGCGAAAACAAAAACUGACUCCCGGGCAUAUUUUUUUCGGCCUUUAUGGGCAGAGAACUUUAAUACCGCUCAAAAUGAGGCCACCCAGUAGUUAGGUGUGAAUUUUCGAGACCUCUGGCACCGUUCUAAGAUGGGUCCUCUCUUCGUAGGCUAAUGCAUUGGCCCUUUUUGACCCGUUUUGGGGCGAAAACAAAAACUGACUCCCGGGCAUAUUUUUUUCGGCCUUUAUGGGCAGAGAACUUUAAUACCGCUCAAAAUGAGGCCACCCAGUAGUUAGGUGUGAAUUUUCGAGACCUUUGGCACCGUUCUAAGAUGGGUCCUCUCUUCGUAGGCUAAUGCAUUGGCCCUUUUUGACCCGUUUUGGGGCGAAAACAAAAACUGACUCCCGGGCAUAUUUUUUUCGGCCUUUAUGGGCAGAGAACUUUAAUACCGCUCAGAAUGAGGCCACCCAGUAGUUAGGUGUGAAUUUUCGAGACCUUUGGCACCGUUCUAAGAUGGGUCCUCUCUUCGUAGGCUAAUGCAUUGGCCCUUUUUGACCCGUUUUGGGGCGAAAACAAAAACUGACUCCCGGGCAUAUUUUUUUCGGCCUUUAUGGGCAGAGAACUUUAAUACGCCGCUCAGAAUGAGGCCACCCAGUAGUUAGGUGUGAAUUUUCGAGACCUUUGGCACCGUUCUAAGAUGGGUCCUCUCUUCGUAGGCUAAUGCAUUGGCCCUUUUUGACCCGUUUUGGGGCGAAAACAAAAACUGACUCCCGGGCAUAUUUUUUUCGGCCUUUAUGGGCAGAGAACUUUAAUACCGCUCAGAAUGAGGCCACCCAGUAGUUAGGUGUGAAUUUUCGAGACCUUUGGCACCGUUCUAAGAUGGGUCCUCUCUUCGUAGGCUAAUGCAUUGGCCCUUUUUGACCCGUUUUGGGGCGAAAACAAAAACUGACUCCCGGGCAUAUUUUUUUCGGCCUUUAUGGGCAGAGAACUUUAAUACCGCUCAGAAUGAGGCCACCCAGUAGUUAGGUGUGAAUUUUCGAGACCUUUGGCACCGUUCUAAGAUGGGUCCUCUCUUCGUAGGCUAAUGCAUUGGCCCUUUUUGACCCGUUUUGGGGCGAAAACAAAAACUGACUCCCGGGCAUAUUUUUUUCGGCCUUUAUGGGCAGAGAACUUUAAUACCGCUCAAAAUGAGGCCACCCAGUAGUUAGGUGUGAAUUUUCGAGACCUUCUGGCACCGUUCUAAGAUGGGUCCUCUCUUCGUAGGCUAAUGCAUUGGCCCUUUUUGACCCGUUUUGGGGCGAAAACAAAAACUGACUCCCGGGCAUAUUUUUUUCGGCCUUUAUGGGCAGAGAACUUUAAUACCGCUCAAAAUGAGGCCACCCAGUAGUUAGGUGUGAAUUUUCGAGACCUCUGGCACCGUUCUAAGAUGGGUCCUCUCUUCGUAGGCUAAUGCAUUGGCCCUUUUUGACCCGUUUUGGGGCGAAAACAAAAACUGACUCCCGGGCAUAUUUUUUUCGGCCUUUAUGGGCAGAGAACUUUAAUACCCGCUCAGAAUGAGGCCACCCAGUAGUUAGGUGUGAAUUUUCGAGACCUUCUGGCACCGUUCUAAGAUGGGUCCUCUCUUCGUAGGCUAAUGCAUUGGCCCUUUUUGACCCGUUUUGGGGCGAAAACAAAAACUGACUCCCGGGCAUAUUUUUUUCGGCCUUUAUGGGCAGAGAACUUUAAUACCGCUCAAAAUGAGGCCACCCAGUAGUUAGGUGUGAAUUUUCGAGACCUCUGGCACCGUUCUAAGAUGGGUCCUCUCUUCGUAGGCUAAUGCAUUGGCCCUUUUUGACCCGUUUUGGGGCGAAAACAAAAACUGACUCCCGGGCAUAUUUUUUUCGGCCUUUAUGGGCAGAGAACUUUAAUACCGCUCAAAAUGAGGCCACCCAGUAGUUAGGUGUGAAUUUUCGAGACCUUUGGCACCGUUCUAAGAUGGGUCCUCUCUUCGUAGGCUAAUGCAUUGGCCCUUUUUGACCCGUUUUGGGGCGAAAACAAAAACUGACUCCCGGGCAUAUUUUUUUCGGCCUUUAUGGGCAGAGAACUUUAAUGCCGCUCAGAAUGAGGCCACCCAGUAGUUAGGUGUGAAUUUUCGAGACCUUUGGCACCGUUCUAAGAUGGGUCCUCUCUUCGUAGGCUAAUGCAUUGGCCCUUUUUGACCCGUUUUGGGGCGAAAACAAAAACUGACUCCCGGGCAUAUUUUUUUCGGCCUUUAUGGGCAGAGAACUUUAAUGCCGCUCAAAAUGAGGCCACCCAGUAGUUAGGUGUGAAUUUUCGAGACCUUUGGCACCGUUCUAAGAUGGGUCCUCUCUUCGUAGGCUAAUGCAUUGGCCCUUUUUGACCCGUUUUGGGGCGAAAACAAAAACUGACUCCCGGGCAUAUUUUUUUCGGCCUUUAUGGGCAGAGAACUUUAAUACCGCUCAAAAUGAGGCCACCCAGUAGUUAGGUGUGAAUUUUCGAGACCUUUGGCACCGUUCUAAGAUGGGUCCUCUCUUCGUAGGCUAAUGCAUUGGCCCUUUUUGACCCGUUUUGGGGCGAAAACAAAAACUGACUCCCGGGCAUAUUUUUUUCGGCCUUUAUGGGCAGAGAACUUUAAUGCCGCUCAAAAUGAGGCCACCCAGUAGUUAGGUGUGAAUUUUCGAGACCUUUGGCACCGUUCUAAGAUGGGUCCUCUCUUCGUAGGCUAAUGCAUUGGCCCUUUUUGACCCGUUUUGGGGCGAAAACAAAAACUGACUCCCGGGCAUAUUUUUUUCGGCCUUUAUGGGCAGAGAACUUUAAUACCCGCUCAGAAUGAGGCCACCCAGUAGUUAGGUGUGAAUUUUCGAGACCUUUGGCACCGUUCUAAGAUGGGUCCUCUCUUCGUAGGCUAAUGCAUUGGCCCUUUUUGACCCGUUUUGGGGCGAAAACAAAAACUGACUCCCGGGCAUAUUUUUUUCGGCCUUUAUGGGCAGAGAACUUUAAUACCGCUCAGAAAUGAGGCCACCCAGUAGUUAGGUGUGAAUUUUCGAGACCUUUGGCACCGUUCUAAGAUGGGUCCUCUCUUCGUAGGCUAAUGCAUUGGCCCUUUUUGACCCGUUUUGGGGCGAAAACAAAAACUGACUCCCGGGCAUAUUUUUUUCGGCCUUUAUGGGCAGAGAACUUUAAUACCGCUCAGAAAUGAGGCCACCCAGUAGUUAGGUGGGAAUUUUCGAGACCUUUGGCACCGUUCUAAGAUGGGUCCUCUCUUCGUAGGCUAAUGCAUUGGCCCUUUUUGACCCGUUUUGGGGCGAAAACAAAAACUGACUCCCGGGCAUAUUUUUUUCGGCCUUUAUGGGCAGAGAACUUUAACACCGCUCAAAAUGAGGCCACCCAGUAGUUAGGUGUGAAUUUUCGAGACCUUUGGCACCGUUCUAAGAUGGGUCCUCUCUUCGUAGGCUAAUGCAUUGGCCCUUUUUGACCCGUUUUGGGGCGAAAACAAAAACUGACUCCCGGGCAUAUUUUUUUCGGCCUUUAUGGGCAGAGAACUUUAAUACCGCUCAAAAUGAGGCCACCCAGUAGUUAGGUGUGAAUUUUCGAGACCUUUGGCACCGUUCUAAGAUGGGUCCUCUCUUCGUAGGCUAAUGCAUUGGCCCUUUUUGACCCGUUUUGGGGCGAAAACAAAAACUGACUCCCGGGCAUAUUUUUUUCGGCCUUUAUGGGCAGAGAACUUUAACACCGCUCAAAAUGAGGCCACCCAGUAGUUAGGUGGGAAUUUUCGAGACCUUUGGCACCGUUCUAAGAUGGGUCCUCUCUUCGUAGGCUAAUGCAUUGGCCCUUUUUGACCCGUUUUGGGGCGAAAACAAAAACUGACUCCCGGGCAUAUUUUUUUUCGGCCUUUAUGGGCAGAGAACUUUAACACCGCUCAAAAUGAGGCCACCCAGUAGUUAGGUGGGAAUUUUCGAGACCUUUGGCACCGUUCUAAGAUGGGUCCUCUCUUCGUAGGCUAAUGCAUUGGCCCUUUUUGACCCGUUUUGGGGCGAAAACAAAAACUGACUCCCGGGCAUAUUUUUC